UUCUGCCUCUUGGUUGCAUUUUGCUCUGCAGAAUGUUGAUCGAGCUUGCCGAGCCCCUCCAAUGCUGCAGGGGCACCAUCAUUUUCUCUCUUCAUCAGAGCUCUCAAGAACAAGAGGAUAGAAGCCAUUUGCAUCAGAAGCCCUACAGUUGCAUACCCUUUCCACUAUAAAUAUAUUCCAGGAGUGCUUCACAAGUUUAUUAUUGGUAGGGUAUCAGGUAGGUGGGUGAUUCUUCCAAGACAUUUUUUGGUAACUCAUGUGGAAAUGCUUUCGGUUGCAUGCAAGAAUCCUGUUUCAUUAUUGCCGAAGUGUUUGUUGAAAACAUGGUUGGUCAUCUAACAAAGUAGGAUUUCCUCUUAACAGGUCAAUGGUUGUUGAUCCACUAAUUUAGGCAUGUUUGUUUUGGUUGCCAUAUGCUUUCCUGAUUGCCUGAAUAUAAUUCCAUUUAUAUAGCACUCUUGCUCGAGGAUGUUUUAUUAUUUUCUUUGUGUUAUUUCAGCUUAUAAAUUCCGAGAUUGAUCAGGCUUUUAUCCUGCAUGCAUAUUCAGGAUGUUUCAUUUGUCAGCAUAUUCAGUACAUGUUGCCUACUACAUUUUCAUUAUUUUUCUUUUUCAUAUUUCAUUACAUUACAUCAAUGCAACUCCUCAAUGGUUGCUUCAUUUUGACUCCUUUACCAGACAUAUACCUUGUCCAUCUUGGACAUCCAGACAUUCUUCUGUUCAACAAUUAUGACCGCACGCCACACUAUAUUUCUGGUUAUACUACUUCCUUAUCAUAUUUUCCUUUAAAAUAUUGGAAGAG
rnacentral:lncRNA from 1 species